rnacentral:rRNA from 1 species
AAAUUGAAGAGUUUGAUCAUGGCUCAGAUUGAACGCUGGCGGCAGGCCUAACACAUGCAAGUCGAGCGGUAGCACAGAGAGCUUGCUCUCGGGUGACGAGCGGCGGACGGGUGAGUAAUGUCUGGGAAACUGCCUGAUGGAGGGGGAUAACUACUGGAAACGGUGGCUAAUACCGCAUAAUGUCGCAAGACCAAAGUGGGGGACCUUCGGGCCUCAUGCCAUCAGAUGUGCCCAGAUGGGAUUAGCUAGUAGGUGGGGUAACGGCUCACCUAGGCGACGAUCCCUAGCUGGUCUGAGAGGAUGACCAGCCACACUGGAACUGAGACACGGUCCAGACUCCUACGGGAGGCAGCAGUGGGGAAUAUUGCACAAUGGGCGCAAGCCUGAUGCAGCCAUGCCGCGUGUGUGAAGAAGGCCUUCGGGUUGUAAAGCACUUUCAGCGGGGAGGAAGGCGUUAAGGUUAAUAACCUUGGCGAUUGACGUUACCCGCAGAAGAAGCACCGGCUAACUCCGUGCCAGCAGCCGCGGUAAUACGGAGGGUGCAAGCGUUAAUCGGAAUUACUGGGCGUAAAGCGCACGCAGGCGGUCUGUCAAGUCGGAUGUGAAAUCCCCGGGCUUAACCUGGGAACUGCAUUCGAAACUGGCAGGCUAGAGUCUUGUAGAGGGGGGUAGAAUUCCAGGUGUAGCGGUGAAAUGCGUAGAGAUCUGGAGGAAUACCGGUGGCGAAGGCGGCCCCCUGGACAAAGACUGACGCUCAGGUGCGAAAGCGUGGGGAGCAAACAGGAUUAGAUACCCUGGUAGUCCACGCCGUAAACGAUGUCGAUUUGGAGGUUGUGCCCUUGAGGCGUGGCUUCCGGAGCUAACGCGUUAAAUCGACCGCCUGGGGAGUACGGCCGCAAGGUUAAAACUCAAAUGAAUUGACGGGGGCCCGCACAAGCGGUGGAGCAUGUGGUUUAAUUCGAUGCAACGCGAAGAACCUUACCUGGUCUUGACAUCCACAGAACUUUCCAGAGAUGGAUUGGUGCCUUCGGGAACUGUGAGACAGGUGCUGCAUGGCUGUCGUCAGCUCGUGUUGUGAAAUGUUGGGUUAAGUCCCGCAACGAGCGCAACCCUUAUCCUUUGUUGCCAGCGGUUAGGCCGGGAACUCAAAGGAGACUGCCAGUGAUAAACUGGAGGAAGGUGGGGAUGACGUCAAGUCAUCAUGGCCCUUACGACCAGGGCUACACACGUGCUACAAUGGCAUAUACAAAGAGAAGCGACCUCGCGAGAGCAAGCGGACCUCAUAAAGUAUGUCGUAGUCCGGAUUGGAGUCUGCAACUCGACUCCAUGAAGUCGGAAUCGCUAGUAAUCGUAGAUCAGAAUGCUACGGUGAAUACGUUCCCGGGCCUUGUACACACCGCCCGUCACACCAUGGGAGUGGGUUGCAAAAGAAGUAGGUAGCUUAACCUUCGGGAGGGCGCUUACCACUUUGUGAUUCAUGACUGGGGUGAAGUCGUAACAAGGUAACCGUAGGGGAACCUGCGGUUGGAUCACCUCCUUACCUUAAAGAA